AUACGGAGGAUCCGAGCGUUAUCCGGAUUUAUUGGGUUUAAAGGGAGCGUAGGCGGGAGAUCAAGUCAGCUGUGAAAUGUAGAUGCUCAACAUCUGCACUGCAGUUGAAACUGGUUUUCUUGAGUGCGUAAGGGGCAGGCGGAAUUCGGCGUGUAGCGGUGAAAUGCUUAGAUAUGACGAAGAAAUCCGAUCGCGAAGGCAGCCUGCCGGGCCGCGACUGACGCUGAAGCUCGAAGGUGCGGGUAUCGAACAGGAUUAGAUACCCUGGUAGUCCGCACAGUAAACGAUGGAUACUCGCUGUCGGCGAUAUACGGUCGGUGGCCAAGCGAAAGCGUUAAGUAUCCCACCUGGGGAGUACGCCGGCAACGGUGAAACUCAAAGGAAUUGACGGGG
rnacentral:rRNA from 1 species